ACAAAAACAUGUCUCUUUGAUAAAAAUUUAUGAAGAGUUUGACCUGCCCGGUGAUGUUGUAUUUAACGGCCGCAGUACUUUGACUGUGCGAAGGUAGCAUAAUUAUUUGCCUUAUAAUUAGAGGCUAGUAUGAAUGGUUUGACGAGAAUUUGUCUGUCUGAAUUUGAUUUUUUAGAAUUUAACUUUUAAGUGAAGAGGCUUUUAUAUUAUUGAUAGACAAGAAGACCCUAUCGAGUUUAAAUUUUAUUUGUAAUUAUAUAGUAUGUAGUUGCAAUAAUGAAUUUUAGUUGGGGUGACUAAGGAACAAUAUGAGUUUCCUUAAUGUUUUGAAAAUUUAUUGAUUUUGAUCCAUUUUUUAUGAUUAAUAGAAUUAAUUACCGUAGGGAUAACAGCAUAAUCUUUUUUGAGAGUUCAUAUCGAAAAAUUGGUUUGUGACCUCGAUGUUGGAUUAAAAUUUCCUAAGGGUGCAGAAGCUUUUGUGGGUUAGUCUGUUCGACUAUUAAAAUUUUACAUGAGCUGAG
rnacentral:rRNA from 1 species